ACGGAAGGCAGCAGUGAGGAAUAUUGGUCAAUGGGCGGGAGCCUGGACCAGCCAAGUCGCGUGAGGGACGACGGUCCUACGGAUUGUAAACCUCUUUUGCCGGGGAGUAACAAGCGGCACGUGUGCCGCCAUGAGAGUACCCGGAGAAAAAGCAUCGGCUAACUCCGUGCCAGCAGCCGCGGUAAUACGGAGGAUGCGAGCGUUAUCCGGAUUUAUUGGGUUUAAAGGGUGCGCAGGCGGCGCGUCAAGUCAGCGGUCAAAUCCCGGUGCUCAACGCCGGUCCGCCGUUGAAACUGCCGUGCUCGAGUUCGUGCGAGGAGAGCGGAAUGCGUGGUGUAGCGGUGAAAUGCAUAGAUAUCACGCAGAACGCCGAUUGCGAAGGCAGCCCUCCAGCACUGGACUGACGCUCAUGCACGAAAGCGUGGGUAUCGAACAGGAUUAGAUACCCUGGUA
rnacentral:rRNA from 1 species